ACUAUUCAUAAUCAGUAUUACUACUGUUGCAUCACUUAUCAUUUAUCAUUAUCAUUUCAUCAAAGCAUUUCAUAAUCACAUGAUAAUCUUUCAUUGCAGGUGCAACUGUAUUCAUGUUAUACACAUUGCAUUUUUGUGCUAAUUAAAGAGUUGAAGCUCGGUCAAGUUAAUUAGUGGUUUGAAGCUACGGGCAGCGCGAGGUCUGGCCGAUCUAUGGAGUAAGUUAAGGUGACCCGAGCUAUGACAGAAUUGCAUACAUGCUUACAAUAUAUCACGCACAACUUAGAAACUGAAUAGAGGCCUGUGUGUUCAGCAACCGGCUGCAGUGGAGUUCUGCCUGGUAACAGAUGACUCAGAGUAAGGUCAUGCACUGAGGCUAAGACACAUGGGCUGCCUGAACACACAUACACAGUGUCUAGACUUGUUUUGCUUGAAACUGCGAAGUUGUUUUACCUGCAUACGUGACAGUUCAGUUCCACAAAUAAGUGUAAUAGGUAAAAUAACAGGAAACAUCUAGUGGAGGAACAGAGGAAGGAACUGUUCUUUUUUUAGAAGAUGUUCAAGGUUGGAAUGACUGGAACAUGCAUGUUUUUUAUCUGCUGUGACGCAUAUUACUUGUCAUCAUAUGUUAUAUAUAUCACACCCCAUUUAUUGUUCUGGGAAGAUCGAUGCUUUUUGGGUGAUCGUGCUCGACUUCCCACGUAAUCAGGACAGUUUUGGUGCCGAAACCCGGUUUGAGGAGGGAUUUGGUUGGCUGAGGUCCGGCAGGUGCGGUCAAACAGACGGACGGGAGCCCAGCAGGUCGACUGAGUGACGUGCCAGGCAAGAUAGAAAGAACAGGAACAUGACCUUGCAUCGCACCAGGAUAUCCUUGGGAAGCUGAAGUCCGUUCCUCUUGGUUCAUGGCCGCAGCUUGUCAACAACUAUUUUUGUUUAAAGUGUUCAAAUUUGGCCACGAUCAGUCUGGGUCUCCAUGCAGCUGGAUGUUUGCCUCCCAGAUGGUGAGUGUUAGGUGGGUUUGGGUGAAUUCUCUCACUAUUGUGAUCUUCUUCUGCCUUCUCUGGCAUACCUGAGAACACCAAGUUGUCCCUCAUGCUGUUGGCCCGGAGCUCGAUGACAGUACCUCUAUCUAAAUUCUGUACAUUAAUAAAUCAUGUUCAUUUCUUUCUAAUGAUCUCCCUUUAUUGAAUAUUUUGUAUUAAUUAAUUUAGUUUAGUCAGUUACUGUUCUUACUGUGUUGGAGCAACUGUGACCAUCAUUUCCUCAAUGAUUAUAGUAUUCUGAUUCUGAUUCUGAAAAGAAAACUACAUGCCGGCCGUUAACAAAUGAAUGCCAUGUUAAUUUAAAUGUAGCUCAUUCAUUCUGAAAGUUCUCAAACACAGUUAUAAUCAAACGUUGUUAGUUUGGACUGUUGUCAGACGAUGCAUGUAGGUGCAAAUGACACUAUCACCAUCACUGGUGAUUUAAACCAUACCAGUCUGGACUGCUCUGCAAACUUUCCAGCAGUACUGUGGACUGCAAAACCGUCCAUAUACUUUUGAACUUUCAGUUUAGAAACAUGGAGGAUGCAUGCAGAGCCACUGACCUUAAUGACUUCACAUCACGUGUCAUAAAGUUGCUGGAGAGACUGGUUCUUAGCCCGCUUGGCUUGCAGGUGAAACAUGCUCUCGACCAUGUUUAGUUUGUUUGCCAGCCAGUUUUCUUAGAGGGGUUGAUGCUGUUAUCUAUACGUCAUGGUGUGUUCACUUUCACCUGGUAUUGGUGGCACUGUGAUGUUUGUUAAUUUUUUCACUGCCUUUAAUAUCAUCCACCCACUUCUGCUAAGUAAGAAGCUGCUCAGGAUGGGUGUCACCACCUCUAAUGUCUCUCGGAUUUCUGACUAUCUGUCAGAGAGGCCUCAGUUUGGGUGGCUGGGGCACCUGGUUUGAUGUGGUGGUUAAUAAUACUGGUGCAUCACAGGGACCGGUCUAAUCUCCAUUCCUGUUUAAAUGGUAAAUGGUGCUUUUAUAAUAGCGCUUUUCUACUCUGAGUGCUUUGAAU